GGGAAUAUGACUGAGUGGUCAAAAGUGCCUGUCUUGAAAAUAGGUAUGUUAAUAGCAUCGUGGGUUCGAAUCCCACUAUUUCCU
rnacentral:tRNA from 1 species